rnacentral:lncRNA from 1 species
AACCACAUAGGAGUGAAUUCUACACAUUCAUUUGACAGAAUAUAAAGCUCAUGAGUCAAGCAAAUGAUAGUGGUGAUCUUUGCAAGAAUCAAGAUCUAUUUCAUCUUUUCUUGAUUCAGUCUUUUAGUAGUUAUCAAUUUUUCUUCAUUAAGUGUAUUUCUGAAAAAAAACUCAAUUUUGUUAUAAUUAUUAACAAGUUUUCAGAUUGUUAUAUGUAAAAGAUUAACCAUAUAUAAUUUGAUCUUAGUAUCUUGACAGUAAAUCAUUAGUCUCAUAGAGAAUAAGACGAUUUGAUAUUUUUGCAACUAAAAUCUUUUCAUUGAAUAUUCUAUAUGCAUUGCUUGAUGAAUGAUAUCCAAGGAUAGACAUAUCUCUAUCAGAGUUGGCAUUAUUUUUCAUAAGAACAUAUCAAGCAUAACAUGUACGACUGAAAAAUAUGAAAGAUAUGCAAUGGUUCAUUUUCCAUUUUUCAGAAGAUCAAAAGGAGUUUUCAUCAAAAAUAGAUCUAAUAGAAAUCAUAUGUAUGACAAGCAGUGAUGAUAGCUUUUAAGGAUGACUAUCAUACACAAUUGUCUUUUUCAUUUCUUCAAGAAUUCCAUUAACCCUAUUUUACUUAAGGUGUUCUUGGUGCAGACACAAUUGUAU